GGACUACCAGGGUUUCUAAUCCCGUUCGCUCCCCUGGCUUUCGCACCUGAGCGUCAGGUACUUCCCAGAAUGCUGCCUUCGCCUUUGGUGUUCUUCCGGAUAUCUACGCAUUUCACCACUCCACCCGGAGUUCCGCAUUCCUCUGAAGCCCUCAAGUCCCCCAGUUUCGCGAGACCCUGCUCGGUUAAGCCGAGCGCUGUCACUCGCGACUUGGAGAACCGCCUGCGUGCGCUUUACGCCCAGUAACUCCGGACAACGCUCGCCUCCUACGUAUUACCGCGGCGGCUGGCAC
rnacentral:rRNA from 1 species